GUGGUGGCUCAGUGGUAGAGUACCUGCCUAGCACGUACGAGGCACUGGGUUUGAUUCUCAGCAUUACA
rnacentral:tRNA from 1 species